rnacentral:rRNA from 1 species
GAACCGUCCAAACGUUAUUCGGAAUCACUGGGCUUAAAGGGCGCGUAGGCGGCCGAGCGGGUCGCGGGUGAAAUCCCCCAGCUUAACUGGGGAACUGCCCUCGAUACCACUGCGGCUCGAGGAAGGAAGGGGUCAUGGGAACUGUCGGUGGAGCGGUGAAAUGCGUUGAUAUCGACAGGAACGCCUGUGGCGAAAGCGCAUGACUGGUCCUUUUCUGACGCUGAGGCGCGAAAGCCAGGGGAGCAAACGGGAUUAGAUACCCCGGUAGUCCUGGCCUUAAACGAUGAGAACUAGGUAGUGGGUCCGACCUGGGCACACUGCCGAAGCGAAAGUCUUAAGUUCUCCGCCUGGGGAGUAUGGUCGCAAGGCUG